rnacentral:rRNA from 1 species
GACGAACGCUGGCGGCGUGCUUAACACAUGCAAGUCGAACGGAAAGGCCCCUUCGGGGGUACUCGAGUGGCGAACGGGUGAGUAACACGUGAGUAACCUGCCCUUGACUUCGGGAUGACUUCAGGAAACUGGGGCUAAUACCGGAUAGGAAUCCUUGCUGCAUGGUGGGGGUUGGAAAGCUUCGGCGGUUUUGGAUGGACUCGCGGCUUAUCAGCUUGUUGGUGGGGUAGUGGCUUACCAAGGCUUUGACGGGUAGCCGGCCUGAGAGGGCGACCGGCCACAUUGGGACUGAGAUACGGCCCAGACUCCUACGGGAGGCAGCAGUGGGGAAUAUUGCACAAUGGGCGGAAGCCUGAUGCAGCAACGCCGCGUGCGGGAUGACGGCCUUCGGGUUGUAAACCGCUUUCAGCAGGGGCGAAGCUUGUGGUGACGGUACCUGCAGAAGAAGCACCGGCUAACUACGUG